GCAGCCGCCGCGGUAAUACGGAGGGUGCAAGCGUUAAUCGGAAUUACUGGGCGUAAAGCGCACGCAGGCGGUUUGUUAAGUCAGAUGUGAAAUCCCCGAGCUUAACUUGGGAACUGCAUUUGAAACUGGCAAGCUAGAGUCUUGUAGAGGGGGGUAGAAUUCCGGGUGUAGCGGUGAAAUGCGUAGAGAUCUGGAGGAAUACCGGUGGCGAAGGCGGCCCCCUGGACAAAGACUGACGCUCAGGUGCGAAAGCGUGGGGAGCAAACAGGAUUAGAUACCCGUGUAGUCCCUGUCUCUUAUAC
rnacentral:rRNA from 1 species